CGAGCACGCGCGUGUGGCAUAUCAAUAAGCGGAGGAAAAGAAACUAACAAGGAUUCCCUUAGUAACGGCGAGUGAAGCGGGAAGAGCUCAAAUUUGAAAUCUUCAAGGUUCUACCUUGACGAAUUGUAGUUUAUAGAAGUGUUUUCUGUUAGUGGAGUGGCAAAAGUUCUUUGGAAUAGGACAUCAUAGAGGGUGAGAAUCCCGUAUUUGGUCAUUCCUCCUAGCGUUGUGAUACACUUUCAACGAGUCGGAUUGUUUGGGAAUGCAGUCCAAAAUGGGUGGUAAAUUUCAUCUAAAGCUAAAUAUUGGCGAGAGACCGAUAGCGAACAAGUACCGUGAGGGAAAGAUGAAAAGAACUUUGAAAAGAGAGUUAAACAGUACGUGAAAUUGUCAAAAGGGAAGCGUUUGACACCAGUGUUGUUUUUCCGAAAAUCAAUUACGAAUGUUUUAUUUUUGAGGAGUUAUGACUUCAUCGGCUUGCUCCUUUCUUUAUGAAACUUUCUUAAUGCGACUUUUCGGUUAACAAGUCAACAUCAAUUUCUUUUGUUGUAAAAGGGUAUGAGGAAGGUGGCUUUCUUUUCGGAGAAAGUGUUUAUAGCCUUGUGCCUCUGCAAUCGGAGAGAUUGAGGUCUGCAGCGUAGAUCCUUCGGGGUUAGAUACGUUUGUGCUAAGUUAUAGCUUUUCAUAGACAACUUGUUGACUAUGUUUAGUCUUGUAGCUUACUCGCUGACGCUAUUUUACCUACGCUUAGGAUGUUGAGUCAUCACACAUCUCU
rnacentral:rRNA from 1 species